rnacentral:rRNA from 1 species
UACGGGGGGGGCAAGCGUUGGUCGGAAUUACUGGGCGUAAAGGGCUCGUAGGUGGCCAACUAAGUCGGACGUGAAAUCCCUCAGCUUAACUGGGGAACUGCGUCCGAUACUGGAUGGCUUGAGUUUGGGAGAGGGAUGCGGAAUUCCAGGUGUAGCGGUGAAAUGCGUAGAUAUCUGGAGGAACACCGGUGGCGAAGGCGGCAUCCUGGACCAACACUGACACUGAGGAGCGAAAGCCAGGGGAGCAAACGGG